rnacentral:rRNA from 1 species
UAGGUCCCAAGGGUUGGGCUGUUCGCCCAUUAAAGUGGUACGCGAGCUGGGUUCAGAACGUCGUGAGACAGUUCGGUCCCUAUCCGUCGCAGGCGUAGGAAAUUUGAGAAGACCUGUCCUUAGUACGAGCGGACCGGGAUGGACGUACCUCUGGUGUACCAGUUGUUCUGCCAAGGGCAUGGCUGGGUAGCUAUGUACGGAAUGGAUAAGCGCUGAAAGCAUCUAAGCGCGAAGCCAACUUCAAGAUAAGAUUUCCCACCGCAAGGGUAAGACCCCAGAAAGACUA